rnacentral:rRNA from 1 species
AUUGCUUCCAUAAUUGACCUAGCGGCGGACGGGUGAGUAAUACUUAGGAAUCUGCCUAUUAAUGGGGGACAACAUCUCGAAAGGGAUGCUAAUACCGCAUACGCCCUACGGGGGAAAGCAGGGGAUCACUUGUGACCUUGCNUUAAUAGAUGAGCCUAAGUCGGAUUAGCUAGUUGGUGGGGUAAAGGCCUACCAAGGCGACNAUCUGUAGCGGGUCUGAGAGGAUGAUCCGCCNCACUGGGACUGAGACACGGCCCANACUCCUACGGGAGGCAGCAGUGGGGAAUAUUGGACAAUGGGGGGAACCCUGAUCCAGCCAUGCCGCGUGUGUGAAGAAGGCCUUAUGGUUGUAAAGCACUUUAAGCGAGGAGGAGGCUCUCUUGGUUAAUACCCAAGAAGAGUGGACGUUACUCGCAGAAUAAGCACCGGCUAACUCUGUGCCAGCAGCCGCGGUAAUACAGAGGGUGCGAGCGUUAAUCGNAUUUACUGGGCGUAAAGCGUGAGUAGGCGGCUUUUUAAGUCGGAUGUGAAAUCCCCGAGCUUAACUUGGGAAUUGCAUUCGAUACUAGGAAGCUAGAGUAUGGGAGAGGAUGGUAGAAUUCCAGGUGUAGCGGUGAAAUGCGUAGAGAUCUGGAGGAAUACCGAUGGCGAAGGCAGCCAUCUGGCCUAAUAAUGACGCUGAGGUACGAAAGCAUGGGGAGCAAACAGGAUUAGAUACCCCUGGUAGUCCAUACCGUAAACGAUGUCUACUACCCGUUGGGGCCUUUGAGGCUUUAGUGGCGCAGCUAACGCGAUAAGUAGCCCGCCUGGGGAGUACGGUCGCAAGANUAAAACUCAAAUGAAUUGNCGGGGGCCCGCACAAGCGGUGGAGCAUGUGGUUUAAUUAAGAUGCAACGCGAAGACACCUUUCCUGGUCUUGACAUAGUAAGAACUUUCCAGAGAUGGAUUGGUUCCUUCGGNAACUUACAUACAGGUGCUGCAUGGCUGUCGUCAGCUCGUGUCGUGAGAUGNUGGGNUAAGUNCCGCAACGAGCGCAACCCUUUUCCUUAUUUGCCAGCACUUCGGGUGGGAACUUUAAGGAUACUUCCAGUUACAAACUGGAGGAAGGGGGGGGCGACGUCAAGUCAUCAUGGCCCUUACGACCAGGGCUACACAUCGUGCUACAAUGGUCGGUACAAAGGGUUGCUAACCUAGGCGAUAGGAUGCUAAUCUCAAAAAGCCGAUCGUAGUCCGGAUUGGAGUCUGCAACUCGACUCC